GACAUGCUGUUUCUUCCUCCAAAAGAAAUGCGUCCGGUUCCUUUGGCCGCGGUGAUUCUGGUGUCGCUGAGGCGCGAACCUCUACACUGCACGCCAAGUGCGAUAAGGGGACCCCGAGUGCGAGGGCAUAUCGUCCUCGCUUUUCUCACCGUAAGGAGGUUGAGGAACAAGAGCUGGGCAAGACCGGUGCCAGCCGCCGCGGUUAUCCGGCAGCUCGAGUGAUGACGAUUUUAUUGGGCCUAAAGCGCCGUAGCUGGCCGUGAAAGUCAUCGGGAAAUCACCCGCUUUACGGGUGGGCGUCGGUGGAAACUCAUGGCUUGGGACAGGAAGGCUCGAGGGGACGUCCGGGGUAGGAGGUAAAAUCCUGUAUCCUGGACGGACCGCCGAAUGGGGAAAGCACCCUCAGAAGACUAAUCCACAGUGAGGGACGAAAGCUGGGGUCCGAACCGGACUGAUACCCGGGUAGUCCCAGCCGUAACAUGGUCGCUAGGGUGGGCACUCCUACAAAAGUGAUGUCGGAAGGAAACCCUACCAACCGCCUGGAAGACUCCAAGGAUAAACUUAAAGAAUGGCGGGGAGCCUAACCCGAAGACCGCGUUAUUGACUACCGGAACUACACCCA
rnacentral:rRNA from 1 species